AUGCACGCUGGCGGCGUGCCUCAUACCUGCAAGUCGAGCGCACAGACGAGGAGCUUGCUCCUCUGACGUUAGCGGCGGACGGGUGAGUAACACGUGGAUAACCUACCUAUAAGACUGGGAUAACUUCGGGAAACCGGAGCUAAUACCGGAUAAUAUAUUGAACCGCAUGGUUCAAUAGUGAAAGACGGUUUUGCUGUCACUUAUAGAUGGAUCCGCGCCGCAUUAGCUAGUUGGUAAGGUAACGGCUUACCAAGGCAACGAUGCGUAGCCGACCUGAGAGGGUGAUCGGCCACACUGGAACUGAGACACGGUCCAGACUCCUACGGGAGGCAGCAGUAGGGAAUCUUCCGCAAUGGGCGAAAGCCUGACGGAGCAACGCCGCGUGAGUGAUGAAGGUCUUCGGAUCGUAAAACUCUGUUAUUAGGGAAGAACAAAUGUGUAAGUAACUAUGCACGUCUUGACGGUACCUAAUCAGAAAGCCACGGCUAACUACGUG
rnacentral:rRNA from 1 species